UGGUGGCAGCAGCAAGAUUAAAGGAGAGAUGUUCAACAGCUUCAAGGACAAUGAGAAACACAGUCUUGAUACCCUGUGAGCAUUCUUUGAGUCCAAUAUCUUUCUCACUAUUUCUGAGGGCCAUGGGCCUUGCAAUGAGCAUGCACCCAAGAACUGAAGUCUCUGCCUCACCUUAAGGAAUGUACAUUUGUUCCAAUCAGAGUACUUUCUGCCUUACAUAGACAUAGGCAAAUUCUCAGUAAGGCCGUAACCUCUGUAGUAUUCAGCCAAAGAGGAAUCAGGGGAGGGACUUGCACACUAGGAAAUAAAUCGCCUGCUGUAACUGCCCCAGUGUGCUUGUCAUCAGAGACACCCACUCUUGAAAGAACGGUGAUUAAAGCCUGGUUCACUGUG